rnacentral:rRNA from 1 species
AGUGAACGCUGGCGGCGUGCCUAAUACAUGCAAGUCGAACGAAGUGGCGCACGGGUGAGUAAUAUAUAGUUAAUCUGCCCUACACAGAGGAACAACAGUUGGAAACGACUGCUAAUACUUCAUAUUUUAGUAUGAGACUAUAUCGUAUCAGCGAGUUGGUAAGGUAAUGGCUUACCAAGGCUUGGACGCGUAACUGGUCUGAGAGGAUGAGCAGUCAAAUUGGAACUGAGACACGGUCCAGACUCCUACGGGAGGCAGCAGUAAGGAAUAUUGCGCAAUGGGGGAAACCCUGACGAAGAAACGGCGCGUGGAGGAUGACACUUUUCGGAGCGUAAACUCCUUUUAUCAGGAAAGCGGUACCUGAUGAAGAAGCACCGGCUAACUCCGUGCCAGCAGCCGCGGUAAUUC